rnacentral:rRNA from 1 species
UAAUACGUAGGUGGCAAGCGAUACUCGGAAUCACUAGGCGUAAAGCGCAGGUAGGCGGUUGGAUAAGUUUUUUGUGAAAGCUCCCGGCUUAACUGGGAGAGGCCAAGAAAUACUGUCUGACUCGAGUGUGGUAGGGGAAACUGGAAUUCCUGGUGUAGCGGUGAAAUGCGUAGAUAUCAGGAGGAAUACCUAUGGCGAAAGCAAGUUUCUGGGCCAUCACUGACGCUGAGCUGCGAAAGCUAGGGGAGCAAACAGGAUUAGAUACCCUGGUAGUCCUAGCCCUAAACGAUGUUCAUUAGAUGUGGGAGGUAUCGACCCCUUCCGCGUCGGCGCUAACGCAUUAAAUGAACCGCCUGGGGAGUACGGCCGCAAGGUUG